AGUGAACGCUGGCGGCGUGCUUAACACAUGCAAGUCGGACGAGAACGGAAUAUAGCUUGCUAUAUUUGUCAGCUAAGUGGCGCACGGGUGAGUAAUGUAUAGAUAACCUGCCCUUAAGAAAGGAAUAACAGUUGGAAACGACUGCUAAUGCCCUAUAUGCCUUUAAUACAUAAGUAUGCAAGGGAAACGCUUUAGUGCCUAAGGAUGGGUCUGUAUGGUAUCAGCUUGUUGGUGAGGUAAUGGCUCACCAAGGCUAUGACGCCUAACUGGUUUGAGAGGAUGAUCAGUCACACUGGAACUGAGACACGGUCCAGACUCCUACGGGAGGCAGCAGUGGGGAAUAUUGCACAAUGGACAAAAGUCUGAUGCAGCAACGCCGCGUGGAGGAUGACACAUUUCGGUGCGUAAACUCCUUUUAUAUAGGAAGAUAAUGACGGUACUAUAUGAAUAAGCACCGGCUAACUCCGUGCCAGCCGCCGCCGUAA
rnacentral:rRNA from 1 species